rnacentral:rRNA from 1 species
AAGGGAUUGCAACCAGACUUGCUCGCGGUGUUCCGCCGGUCUUCUGACCGGUCUACUCGCCGCGUUGCAGGCCAGCAUCGUCUGGUGCCGCUGGAUAAGACUUGAGGAAUGUAGCUCCCUCGGGAGUGUUAUAGCCUCUUGUGAUGCAGCGAGCGCCGGGCGAGGUCCGCGCUUCGGCUAGGAUGCUGGCGUAAUGGUUGUAAUC